UGGCAGUUAAUGGUAACCCAGCAUCCUCUUCCUCCCCCCGGGAAUCCCACGUGGGCAGCACGAGGGCUGAGCCGGGCUGGGGAGCGAUGUGGCCUCUCCUGAUAAGCAGCUCCAGUUCCUGCUCCUGCAGAUUUACAGUCGGGGAAUGGGGAGCUCCUGCCCCAUGAAGGCACCUGGGCAGCCUCAGCAGGGAGGAGGAAACUUUUCUGGACUUCUGACCCUGGGGUCAUUCCCUGUGCCCAAACCUCUGCCCGUGUCUCCCCUCCUUCCAUGGACACUUGGCCGCCAGACUGCAGCAUAUAAUAAAUGGCUCCCUCAUCAAAUUUGGGUGAAAUACCAUGAAUUAACUCACCAAGACUGUUUGUCCAGGCUGUCCCAGCUGAAAUGGCUGCAGGCUGAGGAUCACUUGACCAUCCCAGGAGCUGACAGGGGCCAGGUGAGGAUGAGGAGCAAGAAGUAGAGGAAGGCAGCACUUGAUGCCCAUGAGUGAGUCCCUUCCAGGCAGUGGGAGAACCCUCCUGUGGGCUUCAUCUUCCUGGCAGCCCAGAAAGCAGCUGGUGUGGUUCUGGUGUCUCCCUCUUUCCCAUACACCUCCCCAUGGGACCGUGCCUCCGAGUCAGCAUCUCCUGAGGUGGUCACUUUUUUUUUUCUUUCUUUUUCAGAAAAUAAUUUUAAAUGCAUGACUGGCAAUUCAAGAGAAAACAGGAGGAAGGGUUGUUAUUGCUGAGGAUCUCAGCCCAGCCGGAGGAGACGUGUUCCUUUUGUGGAAUCAAACAUCCAUCAGGGAUCCUUCAUGCAAAUUUAUUUCACUUUUCUUCUUUUUUACCUAUUCCAUUGAUCCAGAGCCUGUAGCAGUUGGCUCAUGGAGAGAGAGGUUUUUUAAUUCAGGAGCCUCGGUGAGGAUGGGAAUUUGCCAAAGCUCCUGGCUCAGGGGGGUGCUUUGUGCCAUGCAUGGGGACUGUGGCACUGUGGGCUGGGACACAUCCCUCCAAAGGAGAGGGGAGAGGUAUCUGCUGUGUUCCCUGGGCAUUGUGUGUGCCUAGAGUGGCUUGGAAAGGCAGGAGAGUAGCUGCCAGCUCUGCCAAAGCUGCUUCCCACCAUGGGAAGGGACAAGGACACUUGGUCAUGCUGCUGGGACAGUCACUGCCAGCCCUGAGGGGUAAAUGUGAGUUAAACCCUUAAAAUCACAAGACAGUGUUAAAAAUAUCCAACUAUGAAAUUACAUUUUAUUUUAUUAUUAUUAUUAGACUCUUCAGUCCAUCUGGGUGUUUUCAGGAGUGACCUGCCAAAUUCUCUCUGCAGGUGGGAGGUUCAGGGUCCUGUCACUUCCAACGG
rnacentral:lncRNA from 1 species